AGUGAAAGUCAAAUAUUAUAUACAUUAUUAAAGCAUAUAAAUGAAAAGUGGAAGCGUAUGAACAAAUAAAAUGGCAUAACAGCAGAAAAGCCAAAACGUUCCUAGUUUAAAAAAAAAAAGUGAAAAGACAAUAAUUAAUAGCUCGACUUGAGCAGACAAAAAUAAUGAGAUGCAUAAAAGGAAGGCGUAAAAGCGUUUAGAAUCCUAAUUUGAAACUAAACUUAACAGGCCUCUGUGAUAGACAAAAAAAGACCGUUAAAAGAACCUAAACGAAUUGUAAUCAGACAAACGCAGAUAUUAGGUUAAAUAAAUGUAAUUGUGAUGUUAAAUACAUGGAAGCUGCAAAAAACCAUGGUCCAGAGAAACGUUUUCAUCAUUCAAGUAACAUGAAUGCAGUAUAUCUAAAUGUGUAUAUAUAUAGAACAGAUAAAAAAUAUUCGACUAAAGAAGUUGCUCUUAAACCCUCGCAGCUAAAGAGACACUUUUCAUUAAUUCCUCCAGCAAUACCUCGUCAUCAUAAUGCAUGGGUUCAAAGGCUCGAACUAACUCUGCAUAAUCUUGCGUUUCUUCUAAGAUGCUAUCCCUCAUGUCUUGAGGGAUAAGAAACAAGAAACCUUGAGCGUAGUUUUCAUAGAGAGAGCGUUGAAUACC